rnacentral:rRNA from 1 species
GUGCCAGCAGCCGCGGUAAUACGUAGGGUCCGAGCGUUGUCCGGAAUUACUGGGCGUAAAGAGCUCGUAGGUGGUUUGUCGCGUUGUUCGUGAAAACUCACAGCUUAACUGUGGGCGUGCGGGCGAUACGGGCAGACUAGAGUACUGCAGGGGAGACUGGAAUUCCUGGUGUAGCGGUGGAAUGCGCAGAUAUCAGGAGGAACACCGGUGGCGAAGGCGGGUCUCUGGGCAGUAACUGACGCUGAGGAGCGAAAGCGUGGGUAGCGAACAGGAUUAGAUACCCUGGUAGUCCACGCCGUAAACGGUGGGUACUAGGUGUGGGUUUCCUUCCUUGGGAUCCGUGCCGUAGCUAACGCAUUAAGUACCCCGCCUGGGGAGUACGGUCGCAAGACUAAAACUCAAAGGAAUUGACGGGGGCCCGCACAAGCGGCGGAGCAUGUGGAUUAACUUCGAUGCAACGCGAAGAACCUUACCUGGGUUUGACAUGCACAGGACGUACCUAGAAUAGGUAUUCCCUUGUGGCCUGUGU